GACGAACGCUGGCGGCGUGCCUAAUACAUGCAAGUCGAACGCUUCUUUUUCACCGAACUUCGGUUCAUCGAAAAAGAGGAGUGGCGAACGGGUGAGUAACACGUGGGUAACCUGCCCAUCAGAAGGGGAUAACACUUGGAAACAGGUGCUAAUACCGUAUAAUGCUUUUUCUCGCAUGAGAGCAAGCUGAAAGGCGCUUUUGCGUCACUGAUGGAUGGACCCGCGGUGCAUUAGCUAGUUGGUGAGGUAACGGCUCACCAAGGCCACGAUGCAUAGCCGACCUGAGAGGGUGAUCGGCCACACUGGGACUGAGACACGGCCCAGACUCCUACGGGAGGCAGCAGUAGGGAAUCUUCGGCAAUGGACGAAAGUCUGACCGAGCAACGCCGCGUGAGUGAAGAAGGUUUUCGGAUCGUAAAACUCUGUUGUUAGAGAAGAACAAGGAUGAGAGUAAAAUGUUCAUCCCCUUGACGGAUCUACC
rnacentral:rRNA from 1 species